rnacentral:lncRNA from 1 species
GUUGUUUUCAUCAUGUUGCAAAUUUUAAAUUUUAUUCGUUAUGUUGCUACAUUAUUACAUUCACCAUGUGACUUCAAGGUUAUUUUUGCCAUUUUUAUGACUUUUAUGUUGUUUUCAUCAUGUUACUUCUUUUGUGGUGUUUUUUGGUCCUUGUUGUGUUUUGUCCUCAUUGUUUGUUAUUGUUUCUGUUAUUUUUGUUUUGUGUUUUGUUGUUGUUUGUUUUGUCUGUUGUUGUGUUUGUUUUGUGUCUUUGUUGUUGUUUUUGUCUGUUGUUUUGCCUUCUUUGUUGUGUUUUUUUGUGUUUUGUCAUUCUGUUUUGUUGUUGUUUGUUUUGUUGUUGUUUGUUUUGUUUUUGUUGUUGUGUUUGUUUUGUGUCUUUGUUGUUGUUGUCUGUUCUGUCUUUGUUGUUUUUGUCUGUUGUGUUUGUUUUGUCUUUGUUGUUGUCUUUUGUUUUGUCUUUGUGGUUGUUUUUGUCUGUUAUUGUGCCUUUGUUGUUUUUAUCUAUUGUUGUGUAUUUGUUGUUGUUCUUGUCUAUUGUUUUGUCUUUGUUGUUGUUUUGUCUGUUGUUGUUGCUUUUGUCUUUGUUGUUGUCUAUUGUUUUGUCUUUGUUGUUGUUUUGUUUUUGUCUGUUGUUUUGUCUUUGUUGUUGUCUAUUGUUUUGUCUUUGUUGUUGUUUUGUCUGUUGUUGUUGCUUUUGUCUAUUGUUUUGUCUUUGUUGUCUGUUGUUUUGUCUUUGUCGUUGUUUUGUAUUUGUCUGUUGUUUUGUCUUUGUUGUUGUCUAUUGUUUUGUCUUUGUUGUUGUUUUGUCUGUUGUUGCUUUUGUCUGUUGUUUUGUCUUUGUUGUUUUGUCUUUGUCGUUGUUUUGUAUUUGUCUGUUGUUUUGUCUUUGUUGUUGUCUGUUGUUUUGUCUUUGUCGUUGUUUUGUAUUUGUCUAUUGUUUUGUCUUUGUUGUUGUUUUGUCUGUUGUUGCUUUUGUCUGUUGUUUUGUCUUUGUUGUUGUUUUUGUUUGUUGUUUUUGUCUACUGUUGUGUCUUUGUUGUUGUUUUGUCUGUUGUUGUGUCUUUGUUGUUGUUUUAUUUUUGUCUGUUGUUUUGUCUUUGUUGUUGUUUUUGUUUGUUGUUUUUGUCUAUUGUUGUGCCUUUGUUGUUGUUUUUGUCUGUUGUUUUGUCUGUUGUUGUGUCUUUGUUGUUGUUUUAGUCUGUUGUUUUGUCUGUUGUUUUGUCUUUGUUGUUGUUUUGUUUUUGUCUGUUGUUUUGUCUUUGUUGUUGUUUUUGUUUGUUGUUUUUGUCUAUUGUUGUGUCUUUGUUGUUGUUUUGUCUGUUGUUUUGUCUGUUGUUGUGUCUUUGUUGUUGUUUUGUCUGUUGUUUUGUCUGUUGUUGUGUCUUUGUUGUUUUUCUUUGUUGUUUUGGUCUAUUGUUGUGUCUUUGUUGUUGUUUUUGUUUGUUGUUUUUGUCUAUUGUUGUGUCUUUGUUGUUGUUUUUGUCUGUUGUUUUGUCUUUGUUGUGUCUUUGUUGUGUCUUUGUUGUUGUUUUUGUUUGUUGUUUUUGUUUGUUGUUUUUGUCUAUUGUUGUGUCUUUGUUGUUGUUUUUGUCUGUUGUUUUGUCUGUUGUUGUGUCUUUGUUGUUGUUUUAGUCUGUUGUUUUGUCUGUUGUUUUGUCUUUGUUGUUGUUUUGUUUUUGUCUGUUGUUUUGUCUUUGUUGUUGUUUUUGUUUGUUGUUUUUGUCUAUUGUUGUGUCUUUGUUGUUGUUUUUGUCUGUUGUUUUGUCUGUUGUUGUGUCUUUGUUGUUGUUUUUGUCUGUUGUUUUGUCUGUUGUUGUGUCUUUGUUGUUGUUUUUGUUUGUUUUUGUCUAUUGUUGUGUCUUUGUUGUUGUUUUUGUCUGUUGUUUUGUCUGUUGUUGUGUCUUUGUUGUUGUUUUUGUCUGUUGUUUUGUCUGUUGUUGUGUCUUUGUUGUUUUUCUUUGUUGUUUUGGUCUAUUGUUGUGUCUUUGUUGUUGUUUUUUGUUUGUUGUUUUUGUCUAUUGUUGUGUCUUUGUUGUUGUUUUUGUCUGUUGUUUUGUCUUUGUUGUGUCUUUGUUGUUGUUUUUGUUUGUUGUUUUUGUUUGUUGUUUUUGUCUAUUGUUGUGUCUUUGUUGUUGUUUUUGUCUGUUGUUUUGUCUGUUGUUUUGUCUUUGUUGUGUCUUUGUUGUUGUUUUGGUUUGUUGUUUUUGUCUAUUGUUGUGUCUUUGUUGUUGUUUUUGUCUGUUGUUGUGUCUUUGUUGUUGUUUUGUCUAUUGUUGUGUCUUUGUUGUUGUUUUUGUCUGUUGUUGUGUCUGUUGUUUUGUCUUUGUUGUGUCUUUGUUGUUGUUUUGGUUUGUUGUUUUUGUCUAUUGUUGUGUCUUUGUUGUUGUUUUUGUCUGUUGUUGUGUCUUUGUUGUUGUUUUGUCUAUUGUUGUGUCUUUGUUGUUGUUUUUGUCUGUUGUUGUGUCUUUGUUGUUGUUUUGUCUUUGUUGUGUCUUUGUUGUUGUUUUAGUCUGUUGUUUUGUCUGUUGUUGUGUCUUUGUUGUUGUUUUUGUUUGUUGUUUCUGUCCUUGCUGUGAUGUCAUUUUAAACGUGGCUCUUAAACUCAGUCCACGUGGAUCAAAUCAGACCUUGGUCCUGAUCCAUGAAUCCACGUCCUGUUCUUCUUCUGGUUUCG